UUAUAUUUCAAAAUUUUUGAUUUCGUUUACAUCAUGGCUACGAGUGGGAAGAAGUGCGUUUUUAACUGUAGCAUGAUCAGUGAAAAAAUAAUAAUUUUCGAAGAAGACAAAUUAAAAAAGUGCCAACAUAUUUCCAAAGUUCGUGUCGCUUUUGAUUUGAAAUACAGUGAUAUUGUGUUACCAGAAAUAGUAGACGGUGUCAGUCGUUAUCAUCGACUUUGCUAUAAAGCAUUUACAUCCAUCCAAAAUAAAUAUUUGGAUAAAUAUAACGGUAAGUUUGCAAUAUUCCUUGAAAGUUGUUAUUAUAUUAAAUUUAAUUACGCCUCGGUAUAAAUAAUCGAACUAUUAUCAAUUUGUACAGAGAGCAAUCAAUUGGAAGUAGCAAAAUCCUCACAAGGUCACACGUCCAUUGAGGCAUCUGCGUCUCCGCAGGCCGAACAUUCGGCAGUGAGUAAUCAAUCCAUAGGAGAUGAUUUUCCGCAAGGUUCCACAUCUAUUAUUUCACAAUGCGACAAUUCAGCUGAAGAAAAUGACGAUAACGUUCGGUCGUCUGAUAUAUUCAGUGGCAGUCAACUUUCACAUGAACAAUUAGAUGUGGAACGACAACCUGAAAAUUCAAAAUUGAAGAAUGCAGGUAUCUGUUUGUUUUGUAAUCAAGCAAGGAAGAAGCAAGGGCAAAAAGCGCUUCUUUUGAUACGAUCUGAAAGUGAAAUUUUAAUUGAAAAAAUUGUCACAAAUGCAACUGCCUUAAAUGACAAUGAAACAUUAUCGUAAAUCGACAGAUUGGGGGAUAAUCGUGUUGUUUAUUACCAUAAUACAUGUAAAUUGAUGUAUUUUAAAAAACACAUUGCGGCUCCGGAGCCAAAACAGUCAGAUUGGCAUAUUGCAAGAAACGUUCAUGAGUUAGUUGACAAUGAACUGUAUUCUUUCAUCGCUGAAAAUACAAUAGGAAAGAAGCAAUGCUAUUCUUUAAAAUUUUUAGUACAGUAUGCCAAAAGUGCGUUGUAUAAAUUGUUUUCGGAGAAAUAUGAUAGUUUCGGACCUUUAAUAACGAGUACGAAAUUGCUUCAAAAGAUUGAAAAAAAAAUUGCCAAGCAGUUACAAAUAAUUGAAUUGCAUGACCGGAAAAUUUUUGAUAGAUAUUGGUCACCAUCUAUCAAAGAUUACGAAAGAUCUCAGCGAAGCGGUUCCUCUGGUAAUUUUCUGGACCUGAACAAUCAAGACCAUCAGACUUCAAUAAAGAACUCCGAAAUAGCUUUUUCAAAGAAGCACUCGUGAAAUUUUUAAUCGUCAAUUGGCAAAAUCACGAAUUAAUUCCAUUCUUUCACAAUAAAAAAGUGCUACUCAAUUUUGAUAACUGUUAUCAAUAUGAAGCUGUGAAUGAACGCAUAUUAUUUUCAAAAAAUGAUAAGUAUACUCUCGAUUUGCAUGAAGAAGCGGAUUCAAAAAUAGUAUAUCAUGCGUGCAAUAUCGAGUCAACAGCGAACAUUCUAAUAAAAUGCUCAGAUACGGAUAUCUUAAUUAUUAUGUUGGCUAAUAUGAUUCACGUACAACACAAUAGCAAAGUUUAUAUUCAAACAGGGGUUUGGAAUAAGCAACGAAUAAUUGACGUAUCGGCGUUGCAUGAAAAGUUAGGAGAGAGAAUGUGUCAAUCUCUGCCAGGAUUUCAUGCUCUAACUGGCUGCGAUUUUAAUCCCGCAUUAUUUCGUAAGGGAAAGCAACGUCCUUUACAGAUCUUAAAGAAAAAUGAAGACUUACAAAAAGCAUUCGGCCAAAUUGGACAUGAAGACUGUGAUGAAACCGCUGUUUUCCCGAUUCUUGAAAAGUUCAUCUGUAAUUUGUACAACUUUCCGUUGUUGAGCUCCGUAAAUGAUGCGCGAUUCGCCUUAUUUUUAAAAGCCUAUAAGGUCAAUGAUUUGGAGGAACCUUUCCAGAAAAAAAAAUUGCAGAAUUUUGACUCAUCCACUUUACCUCCUACCCAGGCUGAAUUAACGCAGCAUUUAUUGAGAACCAAAUAUAUUGCUACAAUAUGGAAAAAUGCUCAUAAGAAAAUUCCAUCAUAUUUACGACCAGAAACUUGCGGAUGGAUAUUAGUAGAGGGAAAUUAUACAUUUAAAUGGUUCGACGGACCGCAGCUGCCUAGUACAAUACAAGAUAUUAUUGAUACUGGAACAAACGAAGGCGAUGAAGACCCUAAUGCAGAAAGUGAAUCAAAUGAAGAAGAAUAUAUCGAUAGCGAAGGAGAUAUCACGUCCGAAUCAGAUUCCGAUUGCGAAUGUGACUGAAAAUGUUGAUGUGCAGCGCACUUUUUAACCUCGUCUGCCGCGGCUUUAGCCCUCAUUUUUUUGUCUGCCAUUUUGUAAAUGACUUUUGGAAUGUUUAAACUUUAAAAUACAAUAAUUGGA
rnacentral:misc_RNA from 1 species